rnacentral:rRNA from 1 species
CGCAAGCCUGAUGCAGCAACGCCGUGUGAGUGAAGAAGGUUUUCGGAUCGUAAAACUCUGUCCUAAGGGAAGAAACAAAUGACGGUACCUUAGGAGGAAGCCCCGGCUAACUACGUGCCAGCAGCCGCGGUAAUACGUAGGGGGCAAGCGUUAUCCGGAAUCACUGGGCGUAAAGGGUGCGUAGGCGGCUUAGCAAGCCAGGGGUGAAAGGCAUUGGCUCAACCAAUGUAAGCCUUUGGAACUGUUAGGCUUGAGUGCAGGAGAGGUAAGUGGAAUUCCUAGUGUAGAGGUGAAAUUCGUAGAUAUUAGGAGGAACACCAGUGGCGAAGGCGACUUACUGGACUGUAACUGACGCUGAUGCACGAAAGCGUGGGUAGCGAACAGGAUUAGAUACCCUGGUAG